GAUUUCAUCUGUCAGAAAUGAUCCAACGGCUGAGUGGCCUUGGAGGAGGACUGAGCGGCCUUGUAGGAGGACUGAGCAGCCUUGUUGGAGGACUGAGCGGCCUUGAAGGAGGACUGAGCGGCCUUGGAGGAGGAUUGAGCACCUUGGAGCAGGACUGAGCGGCCUUGAAGGAGGACUGAGCGGCCUUGGAGGUGGACUGGGCAGCCUUGGAGCAGGACUGAGCGGCCUUGAAGGAGGACUGAGCGGCCUUGGAGGUGGACUGGGCGGCCUUGGAGCAGGACUGAGCGGCCUUGAAGGAGGACUGAGCGGCCUUGGAGGUGGACUGGGCGGCCUUGGAGCAGGACUGAGUGGCCUUGGAGGAGGACUGAGCGACCUUGGAGCAGGACUGAGCGGCCUUGAAGGAGGACUGAGCGGCCUCGGAGCAGGACUGAGCGCCUUGGAGCAGGACUGCUCUCUGAGUGUUUUUCUUGUCGUCUCUGCAGAAUGAACCAGGGCCAGGAAACGCUAUUAAAAAUGCCAC
ensembl:lncRNA